rnacentral:rRNA from 1 species
AUUGAACGCUGGCGGAAGGCCUAACACAUGCAAGUCGAACGAGUGGAGGACGGGUGAGUAAUGUCUGGGAAACUGCCCGAUGGAGGGGGAUAACUACUGGAAACGGUAGCUAAUACAGCAUACAAGCGGAUGUGCCCAGAUGGGAUUAGCUAGUGGGUGGGGUAACGGCUCACCUAGGCGACGAUCCCUAGCUGGUCUGCGAGGAUGACCAUCCACACUGGAACUUGCACACUGUCCAGGUUCCUCCGGGAGGCAUCAGUGUGGAAUAUUGCACGAUGGCCGCAAGCCUGAUGCAGCCAUGCCGCGUGUAUGAAGAAGGCCUUCGGUUUGUAAAGUACUUUCAGCGAUGAGGCGUUACUCGCCGAAGAAGCACCGGCUAACUCCGUGCCAGCAGCCGCGGUAAUUC